rnacentral:rRNA from 1 species
UGGGGGAUAUUGCACAAUGGGCGAAAGCCUGAUGCAGCGACGCCGCGUGGGGGAUGAAGGCCUCCGGGUUGUAAACUUCUUUUGCUCUGAACAAGGCGCACCAUGGGGUGUGUUGAGUGUAGGGGUUGAUUAGCGCCGGCUAACUACGUGCCAGCAGCCGCGGUAAUACGUAGGGCGCGAGCGUUGUCCGGAAUUAUUGGGCGUAAAGGGCUUGUAGGUGGCUGGUUGCGUCUGUCGUGAAAGCUCAUGGCUUAACUGUGGGUUUGCGGUGGGUACGGGCUGGCUUGAGUGCAGUAGGGGAGGCUGGAAUUCCUGGUGUAGCGGUGGAAUGCGCAGAUAUCAGGAGGAAUACCGGUGGCGAAGGCGGGUCUCUGGGCUGUUACUGACACUGAGGAGCGAAAGCAUGGGGAGCGAACAGG